CAGGUCAGCAUACUGCCGUGAAUACGUUCCCGGGCCUUGUACACACCGCCCGUCACACCAUGAGAGUUGGGAAUACCCGAAGCCUGUGAGCUAACGUUAAGAGGCAGCAGUCGAAGGUAGAAUCAAUGAUUGGGGUGAAGUCGUAACAAGGUACC
rnacentral:rRNA from 1 species